UACGAAGGGAGCUAGCGUUGUUCGGAAUUACUGGGCGUAAAGGGCGCGUAGGCGGCCUGAUAAGUCAGAUGUGAAAGCCCCGGGCUUAACCUGGGAACUGCAUUUGAUACUGUCAGGCUAGAGAUCGAGAGAGGAAAGUGGAAUUACGAGUGUAGAAGUGAAAUUCGUAGAUAUUCGUAGGAACACCUGUGGCGAAGGCGACUUUCUGGCUCGAUACUGACGCUAAAGCGCGAAAGCGUGGGGAGCAAACAGG
rnacentral:rRNA from 1 species